rnacentral:rRNA from 1 species
CAUCCUUUGGCGUCGAGCGGCGGACGGGUGAGUAAUGCUUGGGAAUAUGCCUUAUGGUGGGGGACAACAGUUGGAAACGACUGCUAAUACCGCAUGAUGUCUACGGACCAAAGUGGGGGACCUUCGGGCCUCACGCCAUAAGAUUAGCCCAAGUGGGAUUAGCUAGUUGGUGAGGUAAUGGCUCACCAAGGCGACGAUCCCUAGCUGGUUUGAGAGGAUGAUCAGCCACACUGGGACUGAGACACGGCCCAGACUCCUACGGGAGGCAGCAGUGGGGAAUAUUGCACAAUGGGCGCAAGCCUGAUGCAGCCAUGCCGCGUGUGUGAAGAAGGCCUUCGGGUUGUAAAGCACUUUCAGUAAGGAGGAAAGGUUAAGUGUUAAUAGCACUUAGCUGUGACGUUACUUACAGAAGAAGCACCGGCUAACUCCGUGCCAGCAGCCGCGGUAAUACGGAGGGUGCGAGCGUUAAUCGGAAUUACUGGGCGUAAAGCGUACGCAGGCGGUUUGUUAAGCGAGAUGUGAAAGCCCCGGGCUCAACCUGGGAACUGCAUUUCGAACUGGCAAACUAGAGUGUGAUAGAGGGUGGUAGAAUUUCAGGUG